CUAAUCUGCGAUAAGCGUCGGUAAGGUGAUAUGAACCGUUAUAACCGGCGAUUUCCGAAUGGGGAAACCCAGUGUGUUUCGACACACUAUCAUUAACUGAAUCCAUAGGUUAAUGAGGCGAACCGGGGGAACUGAAACAUCUAAGUACCCCGAGGAAAAGAAAUCAACCGAGAUUCCCCCAGUAGCGGCGAGCGAACGGGGAGCAGCCCAGAGCCUGAAUCAGUGUGUGUGUUAGUGGAAGCGUCUGGAAAGGCGCGCGAUACAGGGUGACAGCCCCGUACACAAAAAUGCACAUACUGUGAGCUCGAUGAGUAGGGCGGGACACGUGGUAUCCUGUCUGAAUAUGGGGGGACCAUCCUCCAAGGCUAAAUACUCCUGACUGACCGAUAGUGAACCAGUACCGUGAGGGAAAGGCGAAAAGAACCCCGGCGAGGGGAGUGAAAAAGAACCUGAAACCGUGUACGUACAAGCAGUGGGAGCCUCUUUAUGGGGUGACUGCGUACCUUUUGUAUAAUGGGUCAGCGACUUAUAUUCUGUAGCAAGGUUAACCGAAUAGGGGAGCCGAAGGGAAACCGAGUCUUAACUGGGCGUUAAGUUGCAGGGUAUAGACCCGAAACCCGGUGAUCUAGCCAUGGGCAGGUUGAAGGUUGGGUAACACUAACUGGAGGACCGAACCGACUAAUGUUGAAAAAUUAGCGGAUGACUUGUGGCUGGGGGUGAAAGGCCAAUCAAACCGGGAGAU
rnacentral:rRNA from 1 species